GCUGGGCACGGUAGCGUGUGCCUGUAGUCUCAGCGACUCGGGAGCCUGAGGUGGGAGGAUUGCUUGAGCCCAGGAGUUCUGGGCUGUAGUGCGCUUUUCCGAUCUGGUGUCCACACUAAGUUUGGCAUGAAUAUGGUGACCUCCAGGGAGCUGGGGACCACCAGGUUGCCUAAGGAGGUUUGAACCGGCCCAGGUUGGAAAUGGAGCAGGUCAAAACUCCCGUGCUGAUCAGUAGUGGGAUCGCGCCUGUGAAUAGCCACUGUACUCCAGGGUGGGCAACAUAUCGAGACCCUGUCUCU
rnacentral:SRP_RNA from 1 species